GUAGGUGGCAAGCGUUGUCCGGAAUUAUUGGGCGUAAAGCGCGCGCAGGCGGUCCUUUAAGUCUGAUGUGAAAGCCCACGGCUCAACCGUGGAGGGUCAUUGGAAACUGGGGGACUUGAGUACAGAAGAGGAAAGCGGAAUUCCACGUGUAGCGGUGAAAUGCGUAGAGAUGUGGAGGAACACCAGUGGCGAAGGCGGCUUUCUGGUCUGUAACUGACGCUGAGGCGCGAAAGCGUGGGGAGCAAACAGGGAUUAGAUACCCUGGUAGUCCACGCCGUAAACGAUGAGUGCUAAGUGUUAGGGGGUUUCCCGCCCCUUAGUGCUGCAGCUAACGCAUUAAGCACUCCGCCUGGGGAGUACGGCCGCAAGGCUG
rnacentral:rRNA from 1 species